rnacentral:misc_RNA from 1 species
GAUGAAAGAACGUAGCGAAAUGCGAUAAGUAAUGUGAAUUGCAGAAUUCAGUGAAUCAUCGAAUCUUUGAACGCACAUUGCGCCCCUCGGCAUUCCGGGGGGCAUGCCUGUUCGAGCGUCAUCAACAAAACUCAAGCGUCGCUUGGUACUGGGCGCUCGUCCCUCCCUCCCCCCCGGGGGAGGGGCGUGCCCGAAAGCUAGCGGCGGUGCGGCCGGUUCCCCAAGCGCAUUAAAUUUGCAUUCGCUCUGGAGGUACCCGGGGCACCCGCCGGACAAGCGGCCGAUCUCGUCGAGACGGCCCCCAGAACGACUGACCUCGGAUCAGGUAGGGAUACCCGCUGAACUUAAGCAUAUCAAUAAGCGGAGGA